CGGAAAUUGGCAGCAGCUGUCAGUCGCAAGAAUGUGGAGUAAACACUUUUUACUGGAUAAGAAGAAGAACGGUCAUUUACUUCAUAAGAAACAAAUCUGCUUUUUCGGUUUCUGUCCAAACAAUCACCUGGCUUACCGUCCACCUGACACGCCGGCCUCUGAAACUGAAGCAAGCAGGCGAGGAACCAAAGGAAGCAUUGGAGAAGGAAGCUAUGUAGUUUGCUGAUGUUUCGUCUCGUCUUACAGAACACAUUGCCACAAAACAAGAACAAGACAAAAAAAAAAAAAACCUCCCGGAAAAGCAGCCGUCAAUCUCCAAAGAUGAAGCCACGUUCAUCUGAAAGUGUCAAACUUCUUGAAGUGUAAACAAAUGCUAAGUAGCUUAAAACUUCUGCACUGAACCAUAUUUUAUGACAAAACUGAUUUGCAUCCUGGAAACUGUGUGUGUUAUUGUCCGGUGUUGGCUUCGGCUGUCGCCGGGUUUCCUCUGUCAGCUCAAGUAAUUGUUUCCUAGCAGCAUGGGGGUCUCAUCAUGGAGUUUGUUGCUGAGGCCAUCAAAGGACGGAGCGGUGGAUUUUUAAAACCUCUAAUCUGGUCCAUGACCCCUCGCCAGGAACCGUAGUGAACCUGUGCUUUACUGCUUCCCUUCGGAGGAAGAACACAAUCACCUCCGCGGCGAAGAAAGACGGAAAAAGGGAUGGAAUAAAACAUGAGGCCGUCUUUUGAUGUGAGACUCAAACGUGGUCUGUGUAGCCGGAAGGGCUUGAAGUGAAUGGUAAUAUCUCAACACCUCUUAUAAUAAAUUACAAAUAUUAAAAACAGUAAUUUAACACACGUAUAUUCAGCCGCCUUAAUAUCCCUCAAUCAUUUUUUUUUUGCCACAACCAGUUGUUGUAUAAUUUGAUUUCAAUAUAUUUAAAAAAAAAAAAAU